rnacentral:rRNA from 1 species
UACGUAGGGAGCAAGCGUUGUCCGGAAUCAUUGGGCGUAAAGCGCGCGUAGGUGGCUCUGUAAGUCCGUUGUGAAAGUCAAAGGCUCAACCUUUGAAAGCCGAUGGAUACUGCAGAGCUAGAGUACGGAAGAGGCGAGUGGAAUUCCUGGUGUAGCGGUGGAAUGCGCAGAUAUCAGGAGGAACACCAAUAGCGAAGGCAGCUCACUGGGACGGUACUGACGCUGAGACGCGAAAGCGUGGGGAGCGAACAGG